AUGCUCACUUCAGCAGCACAUAUACUAAAACUGGAACAGUACAGAGAAGAUUAACAUGGCCCCUGUGCAGGGAUGACAUGACAAUUUGUGAAGCGUUCCUAUUUCUG
ensembl:snRNA U6 U6 spliceosomal RNA